CAAAUAAUUUAUUGCCGUAAGAUGGGACUGCGGCCUAUCAGUUUGUUGGUGAGGUAAUGGCCCACCAAGACUAUUGCAGGUACGGGCUCUGAGAGGAGUAGCCCGGAGAUGGGUACUGAGACACGGACCCAGGCCCUAUGGGGCGCAGCAGGCGAGAAAACUUUGCAAUGUGCGAAAGCACGACAAGGUUAAUCCGAGUGGUUUCUGCUAAAGGAACCUUUUGUCAGUCCUAGAAACACUAACGAAUAAGGGGUGGGCAAGUUCUGGUGUCAGCCGCCGCGGUAAAACCAGCACCUCAAGUGGUCAGGAUGAUUAUUGGGCCUAAAGCAUCCGUAGCCUGCUUUGUCAGUUUUCGGUUAAAUCCAUAUGCUCAACGUAUGGGCUGCCGGGAAUACUGCAAAGCUAGGGAGUGGGAGAGGUAGACGGUACUCGGUAGGAAGGGGUAAAAUCCUUUGAUNUAUUGAUGACCACCUGUGGCGAAGGCGGUCUACCAGAACACGUCCGACGGUGAGGGAUGAAAGCUGGGGGAGCAAACCGGAUUAGAUACCCGGGUAGUCCCAGCUGUAAACUAUGCAAACUCGGUGAUGCAUUGGCUUGAUGCCAAUGCAGUGCCGCAGGGAA
rnacentral:rRNA from 1 species